GAUGAACGCUGGCGGCGUGCUUAACACAUGCAAGUCGAACGAAGCACUUUACAACGAUCCCUUCGGGGUGACAAUUUAGUGACUGAGUGGCGGACGGGUGAGUAACGCGUGGGUAACCUGCCUUAUACUGGGGGAUAACAGUUGGAAACGACUGCUAAUACCGCAUAAGCGCACGAGGUCGCAUGACCUUGUGUGAAAAACUCCGGUGGUAUAAGAUGGACCCGCGUCUGAUUAGCUAGUUGGUGAGGUAAUGGCUCACCAAGGCGACGAUCAGUAGCCGACCUGAGAGGGUGACCGGCCACAUUGGGACUGAGACACGGCCCAAACUCCUACGGGAGGCAGCAGUGGGGAAUAUUGCACAAUGGGCGAAAGCCUGAUGCAGCGACGCCGCGUGAGCGAAGAAGUAUUUCGGUAUGUAAAGCUCUAUCAGCAGGGAAGAAAAAAAUGAACGGUACCUGACUAAGAAGCUCCGGCUAAAUACGUGCCAGCAGCCGUAC
rnacentral:rRNA from 1 species